UGAAGGGAAAAUAUUUCCACUGCAUUAUGUUUCAAUUUGUUUAAACAUAAAUCUAGCAGUGGCUGAACCCCUAAAAAUGAGCAGUAUGUGGUGGAGAGGCAGUGCAGCUCUGCUCUUCUCAGGGAUGGAGGCACCCACAUCUAAAAUGCAGAGAACGAAUUAGGGGCCAUAUCUGAGCUGAUCAAGUGUUAGAAGUGGACUGGAAGAAGAGGAAGAAAUGAUCAUGGAGGCUUCUCAGCACUGUGGCUGUUGCUAUGGAAGUGCACAUCACCAGGAGGCAUGAGAGGACACCUUCAAUACUGGAGCGAGGGGAAACACAGCAUCCAGGAGCCUCAAUUCUGAGCGAUGAGAGCCACCGAGGGAGUCCAGCUUCUUUGCAGGUUAACUGCAUGAUUGCUGGCCAGAGUUGAGAUGGAUGAAGAAAGAAGUGUUUGAAGUGGAAUUGGAGAAGAUCACUGAUUCGGGCCGCACAGAGGGCUGGCUGGACAGUGCAUUUGAAUUCAUUGUGGAUGCUGCCCUGAGCACUAGCCAGGCGCUUCAUACCAUUAGAAAGCCUCAUUUUGAAGUUAUGUCACAGAAGACCUGAGGGAGGACAUUAAUGCCUGCCAUCAGGAUUCCUCCUUGAAUGCAUCACAUCCCCAAACCGAAAUUCAGCCUCAUGCUUCACACCGCUGUGUUUGUGUCGUUACCUUCUUCCGGUUCACCCGGCACCUUUAGAAAUGUGAAAAAUAAAAUAAAACAAAA